AACGCUAGCUACAGGCUUAACACAUGCAAGUCGAGGGGCAGCAUGGUCUUAGCUUGCUAAGGCCGAUGGCGACCGGCGCACGGGUGAGUAACACGUAUCCAACCUGCCGUCUACUCUUGGACAGCCUUCUGAAAGGAAGAUUAAUACAAGAUGGCAUCAUGAGUUCACAUGUUCACAUGAUUAAAGGUAUUCCGGUAGACGAUGGGGAUGCGUUCCAUUAGAUAGUAGGCGGGGUAACGGCCCACCUAGUCUUCGAUGGAUAGGGGUUCUGAGAGGAAGGUCCCCCACAUUGGAACUGAGACACGGUCCAAACUCCUACGGGAGGCAGCAGUGAGGAAUAUUGGUCAAUGGGCGCAGGCCUGAACCAGCCAAGUAGCGUGAAGGAUGACUGCCCUAUGGGUUGUAAACUUCUUUUAUAAAGGAAUAAAGUCGGGUAUGUAUACCCGUUUGCAUGUACUUUAUGAAUAAGGAUCGGCUAACUCCGUGCCAGCAGCCGCGGUAAUACGGAGGAUCCGAGCGUUAUCCGGAUUUAUUGGGUUUAAAGGGAGCGUAGAUGGAUGUUUAAGUCAGUUGUGAAAGUUUGCGGCUCAACCGUAAAUUGCAGUUGAUACUGGAUAUCUUGAGUGCAGUUGAGGCAGGCGGAAUUCGUGGUGUAGCGGUGAAAUGCUUAGAUAUCACGAAGAACUCCGAUUG
rnacentral:rRNA from 1 species